GCCAGCAUGGUAUAGUGGUUUGAGUGUUGGACUAUGACUCUGGAGACUAGGGUUCAAAUCCCAGCUCGGCCA
rnacentral:tRNA from 1 species